GUAAGACAGCAACUUGUCGUGGGACCAUCCUUCCUUGUAGCUCACUCUGUGCUGUGUUCGCUGUGGCUCCUGGUUGUGUUGCACUCCACCACUUCUCUGCAGAAGUGCCCAUUUGUGAUUCGUUCCCUGUGCACAAGUUUCACGAGCUGCAGAGGAAGCCCUGCACAGGGAGAUGCAGAAGGGCAGUUUCGAAGUGGGAAGAAGUGCUGCAAAAGCGCUUGGGUUUUGUUCAUGUACUGAGAAGGAUUCUGCAGACAGGCUGGCAACAGAGCACAUUCAGCUGGGUAGGCCUCACAGCUGGGCUGUUCCAGUACCAGCCUCUCUUGGAUUCUGAUGCGAUUUGCUCUGCCUCAACAGUAGAAGAGAUUUGGAAUCAGAAUGGAAUUGGGACACAGAGAAAAUGCCUCUUUUCAACACUUGUUAUUUCAUGACUUGGGAUUGAAAUGCUCACUGUUGUACCUGGGCAUAAUGAACAUACCAUGGUGCUUUCUGGAUUAAAAGUUGCCUAAGAGGCUUCAUCUGUACUCACUUGUACACAUCACACUUAAAAGAAGUAAAUUUCUGGGGGGGG
rnacentral:lncRNA from 1 species